rnacentral:rRNA from 1 species
CAUAUCACUAAGCGGAGAAAAAGAAAAUAACAAUGAUUCCUAGAGUAACGGCGAGUGAAAUAGGAUCAGCCCAUAGCCGAAUUCCGCUGUCCUCGACGGCAGCUGGAAGUUGUGGCGUUUGGAACUGCCUACUUGUAACCGAUGGCCGGGCUACGCGACUCCUCUUGAUUGUGGUUUGCCCAUAGCAGGUGAAAGGCCUAUUGGUCGUAGCCUCGUGCCGGCGGUGAUGGCAGUCCUUAGAGUCGGGUUGUUUGGGAUUGCAGCCCGAAGUAGGUGGUAAACUCCACCUAAGGCUAAAUACGGUCGCGAGUCCGAUAGAGCACAAGUACCGUGAGGGACAGUUGAAAAGAACUUUGAAGAGAGAGUUCAAAGUACGUGAAACCGUUCAGAGGUAAACGGGUAGAAAGUCGAAUUAGAGGCUGACAAUCAAGCUGAUACUAAGUUGAUGUGAGCUUUUGGCACGUUAAAGGCUACUUGUUUACAUACGGCUUGUAUCGGUUGUAUUUGUUGGUUUCGGAUCGCCGCAACGGCAGUGACACUGACCGGUUGGCAUUUAUCCCUCUGGUCGAUGUAGAUUCAUUUGAGUCUUUUAACGUCGGCACAAGGGUAAAUGUCCCGAGUACAUGGCACAGUUGGUUUUGAACUUAUGCGUUCCUCUGGUUACCGUUUGUUUUGCCUUGGUGGUCUGAUCUUAAACAAGUUCACCUAUCGAGGUCAGAGCUGCGGUAGCUAGUUUAAUGACGGAACAAAAGUUUAUCGUGGCGUUUGACAGCGAGUUGUCUACCCGACCCGUCUUGAAACACGGACCAAGGAGUCUAACCUGUGCGCGAGCCAUUGGGCGUUUUACAAACCCAAAGGCAAAGUGAAAGCAAGCAUUGGUGAGAUCUGUCGUUUAUUUGUUAAGAAUAACGGCGGCGCAUCAUCGUCACGCCUCGUUUCGGCUUCGGCUGAUGAGGCGCAGACAGAGCGCACAAGUUGGGACCCGAAAGAUGGUGAACUAUGCGAGGCGAGGUCGAAGCCAGAGGAAACUCUGGUGGAGGACUGUAGCGGUUCUAACGUGCAAAUUGAUCGUCGCAGCUUCGUAUAGGGGCGAAAGACUAAUCGAACCAUCUAGUAGCUGGUUCCCUCCGAAGUUUCCCUCAGGAUAGCUGGCACUUUCGGAGAGCAGUUUUGUCCGGUAAAGCGAAUGACUAGAGGCCUUGGGGACAUAACGACCUCAACCUAUUCUCAAACUUUGAAUGGGCAAGAAGAGGGACUCGCUUAAUUGGAGUUUCCUCAUUCGAAUGCUUGAGUGCCAAGUGGGCCAUUUUUGGUAAGCAGAACUGGCGCUGUGGGAUGAACCAAACGUUUAGCUAAGGCGCCAAAUGCUAACGCUCAUCUGAACCCAUUAAAGGUGUUGGUUGAUAGAGACAGCAGGACGGUGGCCAUGGAAGUCGGAACCCGCCAAGGAGUGUGUAACAACUCACCUGCCGAAUCAACCAGUCCUGAAAAUGGAUGGCGCUGAAGCGUUGCGAGCCUAUGCUAGACCGACAUUGCAAUAAUUUUAAUUAUCAAGCAAUGUCGAGUAGGAGGGUCGCUGUGGUAUGCGUUGAAGCUUAGGGCGAGGGCCCGAGUCGAGCUGCCAUAGGCGCAGAUCUUGGUGGUAGUAGCAAAUAUUCAAAAGAGAACUUUGAAGGCCGAAGUGGAGAAGGGUUCCAUGUGAACAGCAUUUGAACAUGGGUCAGUCGGUCCUAAGCGAUAGGCAAAUGCCGUUCUGAAAGCAGGCUUUAUUGAAUUUAUUUAAUUAAUGCCUGAUUUUGGUCGAAAGGGAAUCGGGUUAAUAUUCCCGAACCUGGACGCGGAGAUGGGGCCGUAGCUUAACGGCUGCGGCUCAGUGCGGUAACGCAAACGAUCCUGGAUUCGUUGGCAGGAGUCCCGGGAAGAGUUCUCUCUUCUUUGUAAGGGGCCGACUCCCUGGAAUCGGCUUAGCCGGAGAUAGGGAUAUUGCACGUGAGCCCGUAAAGCACCACACUUCUUGUGGUGUCCGGUGCACGACUGUCGACACUUAAAAGUCCAGGUUAGACGUUCAUAAUGUUCGCGCCAGGCCGUACCCAUAUCCGCAGCAGGUCUCCAAGGUGAACAGCCUCUGGCCUUAGACUGAUGUAGUCAAGGGAAGUCGGCAAAUUGGAUCCGUAACUUCGGAACAAGGAUUGGCUCUAUGGGUUGGGCUGAACGGGCUGUGCUAGGAAGCGAUGCCUUGCUACUGGUGCUUUGGGUCUGACUGGCAACGGUUGGGCCUGGCGCCGGUUGGCGGCGCGUGGAUCUGGUGCGGCUUCGCCAGUGCUCCUCGUGGGUGUUGGCAUCGUUCAGCAAAAAGCAACCG